CAUCCUGAUUCCAUGUGUUUCCAUGCUGAUUCCAUGUGUUUCCAUGCUGAUUCCAUGUGUUUCCAUGUGUUUCCAUGCUGAUUCCAUGUGUUUCCAUGUCUUCAAACAGGCCCUUCAGCAUCCGCCUCGGGCAAACGUACAAAGUUCACAAAAUGCCUAAUGGUACCUUAAUACUUCAUACUUAACACUUGGUACCUACCCAGUACAUAAAGUAUUUCUCAUGUUGUUAUCCAUAUGAAAACAGCAAAUCGUUCUCAGCUAGUUUUGUUAAACAACCGCCUUGCAAACAUUGACAUGUUUACCUCAGUCCAAACAAACGCGUCUGUUGAUGUUAGCUGUUCUCGUGGUUAGAUGUCGAAUAUUUACCGAGCAUCAACACAAUGAUGAAGAAUUAAAAGAGUC